CCUCUAUCAUCAGGCUCUAGGGCCAAAUCUGAGAAGAAAGAGAAAAGCAACCUCAAAAAUACAAGUGUCGGGUCACGGAAACGCAGCAUAGGUCACAGCAGGCUGAAGAGACUGCAUCUCUUGGAACAAUUAGCCUUAUAUCGCAAGGUCAGUCAAGAAACAAAGAUGGUUCGUGUCAAAGAAGUUUGCCAGAAGUUAGUACAGAAAAGUUCUCAUCAGCUAAAGAAGAAAAUAAUGAACAGAUUACAGGUGUGGAUUGUUAAUGUCUUACAUUUGUGUUGAUAACAAGAAAAGAAUGAGUCCUCUCUCUUUUUGGUCCCAAUACUACGUCUGAAACAAAAAUGUGGCCCAAGGGAAAAUGUAGUAGAUUUGUUGAAAUGCUUUCUUUUUUCUUUUUCUUUUUGUUCCAGCUAGGUUUUACCUGUGUUUUUUUUUAAGUACAGUACAAGGUUAGUGGCUGGAAUAGUUACAGCUGGGCAGAUGUCGAAUAAAUUACUUGUCAGUCUAGUUCUAUGCA
rnacentral:lncRNA from 1 species